rnacentral:rRNA from 1 species
UACGUAGGUGGCAAGCGUUGUCCGGAUUUACUGGGCGUAAAGAGCGCGCAGGCGGUCGGAUUAGUCGCGUGUGAAAGCCCCCGGCUCAACUGGGGAGGGUCACGCGAUACUGUUCGACUCGAAGGCAGGAGAGGGAAGUGGAAUUCCCGGUGUAGUGGUGAAAUGCGUAGAUAUCGGCAGGAACACCAGUGGCGAAGGCGACUUCCUGGCCUGUUCUUGACGCUGAGGCGCGAAAGCUAGGGUAGCAAACGGG